GUUAAGCUGAAUGUUAAUAUCAGUCAUUUCUAUGCAUUGUAAAAUUUUCGAAAUUUCACAUCAAACGCUAUUUGCAUAUGUAUUUGUUUAGUCCGUCAGUCAUUUUCAAAAAAUGAACCUGUUUUUAGUCAUACCACUUCAUUAGGCCAUUUAAAAGCAGAAGCAACUACUGAAACGGUUUCUGAGCCGGGGUGGCGCAAGUGUGCAUACAAAGAUAAGUAUCUGAUGUAAUUGAGAGUAUACACUUCACAUCAAUGAAAAAAAGAAAAUAAGAUUUUUUUUACGUUAUUAAAUAAUUUUUAUAUCAGACAGUUACUUAUUAAUUUUUGUGUAUUUUGUUUAAAUUAUUUUUAGUAAAAAAGAUGAGCAUAGAUCGAGUGAAAAAUUUAAAAUUACCCAAUUUAUUAAGAUUUGAAAGCUAUAAUUUUUACGUGUUGAGAAUGAAAACUAUGGGCGUAAUACCAUUUCAUUUAGAUUUUUUCAAAAAGAAAUUUGGAGUAUUUUUGGACUGGAUACAAGUAACAAUUUUUGAAGAAUUGGGAGGAGAUUUAAAAAUAGAUUGAACUCGAGAACUCACCAAUGAUGUACCUUUCAAUAAUGCACAACCAGUGGGCAGUGAUAUACCUACCAUAAAUGAAUGAGAUUAAUGAUAUAGGCUCAGACAUACUACGUUUAAUUUACCCUGCAAUUUUGCUUUAUAAAAAUAUUACUAUUCAUAUUUUGUUUUAAUUAUACUAACAGGGUCAUAUAGUUAAUUUUAGUUUGUUUUGAUGUACCGAUAGGACCGUCCUAUAUAAUAUUAAAAUUAAUAUUUAACUAAGUAAAAUUAUUAUUCUUUGACCGCUGAAAAUAUGUUAACAUUGUAUUAGUUUUAACUAUUGAACUGCUGAAUUUUUUUUUAUAUAUAUCUUUUAACCUAAAAUGUUUAGAAUAUAACAGUUUUAUCGUCAUAAAAAUG